UACGUAGGGAGCAAGCGUUGUUCGGAUUUACUGGGCGUAAAGGGCGCGUAGGCGGCGCGACAAGUCACUUGUGAAAUCUCCGGGCUUAACUCGGAACGGUCAAGUGAAACUGUCAUGCUAGAGUGCAGAAGGGGCAAUCGGAAUUCUUGGUGUAGCGGUGAAAUGUGUAGAGAUCCGGAGGAACACCAGUGGUGCAGACGGCGCCCUGGGUCCGAACUGACGCUGAAGCACGAAAGCGUGGGGAGCGAACGGG
rnacentral:rRNA from 1 species